rnacentral:rRNA from 1 species
GUUCCGGCUAAACUUCGUNNCCCAGCAGCCGCGGUAAUACGAAGGGACCUAGCGUAGUUCGGAAAUUACUGGGCUUAAAGAGUUCGUAGGUGGUUGAAAAAGUUAGUGGUGAAAUCCCAGAGCUUAACUCUGGAACUGCCAUUAAAACUUUUCAGCUAGAGUAUGAUAGAGGAAAGCAGAAUUUCUAGUGUAGAGGUGAAAUUCGUAGAUAUUAGAAAGAAUACCAAUUGCGAAGGCAGCUUUCUGGAUCAUUACUGACACUGAGGAACGAAAGCAUGGGUAGCGAAGAGGAUUAGAUACCCUCGUAGUCCAUGCCGUAAACGAUGUGUGUUAGACGUUGGAAAUUUAUUUUCAGUGUCGCAGGGAAACCGAUAAACACACCGCCUGGGGAGUACGACCGCAAGGUUAAAACUCAAAUGAAUUGACGGGGACCCGCACAAGUAGUGGAGCAUGUGGUUUAAUUCGAAGAUACGCGCAGAACCUUACCAACACUUGACAUGUUCGUCGCGACUCUAAGAGAUUAGAGUUUUCGGUUCGGCCGGACGAAACACAGGUGCUGCAUGGCUGUCGUCAGCUCGUGUCGUGAGAUGUUGGGUUAAGUCCCGCAACGAGCGCAACCCUCACUUUUAGUUGCCAUCAUUAAGUUGGGCACUCUGAAAGAACUGCCAGUGAUAAGCUGGAGGAAGGUGGGGAUGACGUCAAGUCCUCAUGGCCCUUACGUGUUGGGCUACACACGUGCUACAAUGGUAUCUACAACAGGAAGCAAAACUGCGAAGUUAAGCAAAUCCCUAAAAGAUACCUCAGUUCGGAUUGCACUCUGCAACUCGAGUGCAUGAAGCUGGAAUUACUAGUAAUCGUGGAUCAGCGUGCCACGGUGAAUGCGUUCCCGGGUCUUGUACACACCGCCCGUCACACCAUGGGAGUUGGUUCUACCUUAAGGCAAGGUUUCAAACCCUUGACCACGGUAUAGUCAGCGACUGGGGUGAAGUCGUAACAAGGUAGCCGUA